rnacentral:rRNA from 1 species
UACGGAGGGUGCAAGCGUUAAUCGGAUUACUGGGCGUAAAGCGUGCGUAGGCGGUUCGUUAAGUCUGUUGUGAAAGCCCCGGGCUCAACCUGGGAAUGGCAAUGGAUACUGGCGAGCUAGAGUGUGUCAGAGGAUGGUGGAAUUCCCGGUGUAGCGGUGAAAUGCGUAGAGAUCGGGAGGAACACCAAUGGCGAAGGCAGCACUCUGGGACGGUACUGACGCUGAGACGCGAAAGCGUGGGAGCAACAGG